rnacentral:rRNA from 1 species
GCAUAUGACCAAAUCACCCGAAUGUGACUGAUCUUGUCAGAUCUCCGAAGCUAAGCAGUGCUAAGCCUGGUUACUACUAUAAAGGACUGCCUGUGAAUACGAGACAGUACAGGCU